UCCCCGCUAGCUCAGUCGGUAGAGCGCCGGACUGUUAAUCCGUAGGUCCCUGGUUCGAGCCCAGGUCGGGGAG
rnacentral:tRNA from 1 species